AGACAGCUCUCACAUUCAUGUUAACUGGUUUAUUUUGAGGCAUAACAUUUCAUCAAGGUGUAUACCUGUAUGUGAAUAUUUAACAAUUAGAAACUGAAACAGAUGCAGAUGAAGAAUGACCUACUUGAACAUUUACCAGCCAAGCCUGUAAGCUGUGUAGAGUAAUGUCAACACAAAGGAAAUAUCAAUUCAAGUGGAUUCCAAUGUGCAACCGCAGUCAUUAGUAUGGAUUGGUGUCAAACUUUCAAGCAUUUGCCUUAUUUAUUGAACAACCUAAUAAUUCAAAAUGGUAAUGGGAAGAGGGUGGAGUAGGAAGAUAAGGAUAGACUCUGAAACCAAGGUCCUUAGGGCUUCUAUAUGAAUUUCAGAAUUACUGUAAAAUAAAUAUUUAUUGGUGUCCUUUCUCUUGUAUGUAGACAAUAAGUACACAUACAGAUAGCUGUCUAAAAAUUAAGUGUUAAGCUGGAAUUAGAUAUUGAAAUUGAGUACCAAUAUUAUCUUUAGUCAAUUUCCCUUAGGAUACUAUUUUGUGAAGAGAAAAUAUUAUUCAUGUGCAUAUUAAUUAAAGCUUUUAAAAUGAUCACUGAAAAUGUAUCCUUCAUUCUACAUAAUGAGCUUUACAAAUUCCACAUUUUAUGCAAUAC
rnacentral:lncRNA from 1 species